rnacentral:rRNA from 1 species
AUCUCCCCGCUGUCUCAAAUGCGGACUCAGCGAAAUUGAACUGUGUGUCAAGAUGCACACUACCCGCGGUUAGACGGAAAGACCCCAUGCACCUUUACUCCAGCUUUGCACUGGUAUCAGGAUUGUGAUGUGCAGGAUAGGUGGUAGGCAUCGAAGCAGGGACGCUAGUUCUUGUGGAGCCUCCCUUGAGAUACCACCCUUCGCACUCUUGAUAUCUAACCGCGGCCCGUUAUCCGGGUCCGGGACCCUGCAUGGUGGGGAGUUUGACUGGGGCGGUCGCCUCCCAAACAGUAACGGAGGCGCGCGAAGGUAGGCUCAGACCGGUCGGAAAUCGGUCGUUGAGUGCAAUGGCAGAAGCCUGCCUGACUGCAAGACUGACAAGUCGAGCAGAGACGAAAGUCGGUCAUAGUGAUCCGGUGGUCCCAAGUGGGAGGGCCAUCGCUCAACGGAUAAAAGGUACGCUGGGGAUAACAGGCUGAUGAUGCCCAAGAGUCCAUAUCGACGGCAUCGUUUGGCACCUCGAUGUCGGCUCAUCUCAUCCUGGGGCUGGAGCAGGUCCCAAGGGUACGGCUGUUCGCCGUUUAAAGAGGUACGUGAGCUGGGUUUAGAACGUCGUGAGACAGUUCGGUCCCUAUCUGCCGUGGGUGUAGGAGACUUGAGAAGAGUUGCCCCUAGUACGAGAGGACCGGGGUGAACGAACCACUGGUGGACCAGUUAUCGUGCCAACGGUAGUGCUGGGUAGCUAUGUUCGGACAGGAUAACCGCUGAAGGCAUCUAAGCGGGAAGCCCCCUUCAAAACAAGGUCUCCCUUGAGAGCCGUGGAAGACCACCACGUCGAUAGGCCAGAGAUGUAAGUGCAGCAAUGCAUUCAGUUGACUGGUACUAAUUGCUCGAUAGGCUUGAUUUG